rnacentral:rRNA from 1 species
AGGAAAAGAAACUAACAAGGAUUCCCCUAGUAGCGGCGAGCGAAGCGGGAAGAGCUCAAAUUUAUAAUCUGGCACCUUCGGUGUCCGAGUUGUAAUCUCUAGAAAUGUUUUCCGCGUUGGACCGCACACAAGUCUGUUGGAAUACAGCGGCAUAGUGGUGAGACCCCCGUAUAUGGUGCGGACGCCCAGCGCUUUGUGAUACAUUUUCGAAGAGUCGAGUUGUUUGGGAAUGCAGCUCAAAUUGGGUGGUAAAUUCCAUCUAAAGCUAAAUAUUGGCGAGAGACCGAUAGCGAACAAGUACCGUGAGGGAAAGAUGAAAAGCACUUUGGAAAGAGAGUUAACAGUACGUGAAAUUGUUGGAAGGGAAACGCUUGAAGUCAGACUUGCUUGCCGAGCAAUCGGUUUGCAGGCCAGCAUCAGUUUUCCGGGAUGGAUAAUGGUAAAGAGAAGGUAGCAGUUUCGGCUGUGUUAUAGCUCUCUACUGGAUACAUCCUGGGGGACUGAGGAACGCAGUGUGCCUUUGGCGGGGGUUUCGACCUCUUCACACUUAGGAUGCUGGUGGAAUGGCUUUAAACGACCC